GCAGACAUGCAAAAGACAUGCAUGAAGACAAACCAAGUAAUAAACUGAAAAGGCAAGAGGAGUGAGCAGAGGCAUUUAUUUCACUAGAAGCAGAGGAACUGGGAAAAACAGAGAUUUGCUGAAGUGAAGCAAAGUGAAGGAAGUGAGAAGUUGUGCUGGGCACAUGAACCUCAGAAAACUGCUGCAGGGCAAGGAGAGCAGACUCAGGAACAAUUUAAUUAUUUGACUCUGACAUCCAGAAUCUAUUAAGAAAUUUCUACAAACUUGUAAGAGCAACCAAUAUCCAGAAUUGUAAAAGUAAAGCACAUUUUACAAAAACAGGAAAAACAAAUUUUAAAUGCGAAGCAUUCAACAUCAUUACUGAUUGGAAUAUCACUGAACACCCAUUUGGGGCUUCUUCCCAGAGUCCCUCCUUAUUGCUGAUUUUUUUUUCUACCUUUGCGAAAUCCUUAAGAUUUUUCUUAACUGGAAAAAAAAAGUGUUCAUUUCAUAAAGUAAAGAUGGCACUUACAGGAAGGGUCAGGGAAGUCACAAACUACACGUUAUGAAUUACUGAAAAAGCAUUUUUUGAACUAUUCCUACUAAGUGCCAAGUGCCAUGCUCAGCACUGGGGAUAACAACUAGAGAAAGACUGGUCCAUGGUCAAGUUGGGGGAAGACAACAUAUUAGAAAGUUUGGUUGCUGGGCAAAGGAAAAAACUUAAAAGUCUUAGUUCUAAAAGUCAUAAGAAUGCUCCAGAGGGACAGACUGCGCGGCCCCAGCUACGCAUCUUCAGAUUGUCAGUAGCUAGGAUGACAAGGAACACACAAACAAGGAAAGCCGGGAAGUCCUUAGAAAGCAGCAUCAGGGCUGAUGGUAAGGUUUGUUUAGCCGUCCAUCUUACCUGAAGGAAAAGUUGAGAUUUUCAUUAGCUUAAGUCAUGUGAGCAGUCAAGCUGUCUAGAUUGGUUCUAGGUUUUGGGCAAGAGUUGAGCAAGUCAGAAUUCAGUUGGACCUGACCCAGAUGAGGAUAUCUGCCUUUCUCUUAGUAUUCGCACAUGUGAACAAUUUCUACAGUUGAUAGUAUGCGUUUCUUUCUUGUCUGCAUUAUUUUAAAAAAUUUUUAAAUAGCACACAGAAAAACUGAGAAAGCAUAUGAAGAAAAUGGCCAAAGACAGCCAUGGAAUACAGCUCCAAGACAAGGAGAUAAAAAGAUGUUGAUGCAUAAGCUUCGAUUGUGUUCAUGGUGGUCUGUUAGCUUUUGAACACUUCAAGGUGAACUGACCAAGCAUGGGUUCCCCUUCACUUGAGAUCUUUAAGGCUGGAUGGCUACAUAUCAGGAACACUGUGGGAAGGAUGCUCUUUCCAGCUAAAGAUUGGUCUAAAUGGUGACUGAAAUCUCUUCCAACUCUGAAAUUCUGUGAUUCGGAUUUCCAUGAAAUGAUGAUUUUCAUUUCCUUCAUGUGAAGGAUGAAAUAAAUUCUUCCAAUUCUUGUAUUUGCCUAAGGAGAACCUGUGAGCCACCCUUUCACUUAGAAGCAAGUUCUUUAUGUCUUCUGGUUUUAUUCAUAGGGAAAAAUGCCAAAUAGAACAUAAGCUACUUGUUGGUUACUGGGCAAAUAUUAUAAUGAUUUAAAACACCAAGUUUAACUAAUAGUUACGGAUCAUCUUAAAAUGGUAUGAUUCUUAGUUCAUGAGCAUCUGCCCCCUCACACUGCAGAAGGAGAAGGAAUUGAGGAGUGUAUUAUAUUUUAAUCUGUUCCGUGGGCCAUUUUGUGGAGGGGGAAAAAUAUUACUUAAGCAGCCAACGUUGUGGUGAUGAAGCUCUACACUUAAGCUGUCCUUCAGCCAGCAGACAUAGGAUACAGUCAGGAAAAUACUUGGAAAUUUUUCUAAUUCAGUUGAAUCAACCAGAACUUGCACUCCAUUGACAGCCUUUCAGAAGGCAGCUUGCCUCUAAAUAAUAAUGAGACAUUAGAGUAGAACUUUUGUCGGGGACAACAAGUUACCAUAGUACAAGUGAAAGAUAUUUCUUACUUAUCAUUGACUUUAGAUAUGAAACUAGAAAACUGCCUCUGAGUCAGACUAGAGAAUAAGAGAGCCAAGAAGUAUAGAAGCUCAGGAAAAAGGCUUGGGAUGAAGACAAUAUGUAUGGACAAUAAAGACCAGGCACUGCUGCUACCAAGUGGUAGAACUUGUAACUCAUUCAUUUGUCAUUUCUCUCCAAUUCUAUGAUUCUUAAACUUUUUACCUCUUGUUUUUGCAACCUACAGAAACUGUAAUUUGGAUCUGAGAAGGAAAAAGCAAUCCAUUUAGUAUCAAGUUAAUGACAAUAAAAAGCAAUU